AAAAAAGGAACGGGUAUUCAGACACACCACAGGCAGCCCCUUAAUCUUCUCUGAAAAUUGCCCAAAUAAAAACAAAACCCUUCCCAACCUCUUCAUUCCCAUCACCACCUUCCCUCACUGACGACGGCGGGCUCGCAAUCGGAAUUAGCUCCUUCUCCGGCCCAGCGACGAAGUCAACGAAGAAGAAAAAGUGUGACUCGUGCUGGAUGUUGUGGACAUCGGAGAAGUUCAAACCUUGCUCUGAUCUUUGACCGCUGAGAAGCAACCACCACGCCCAAUUGAAGAAGACACCAGUUUCCGUCUAUACAAACGAGCAUGAGAGGAAGGAAUGUCGGAAUAUGUCACAGUUGUCGAAGCAAAUGGCACUCAUUCUGGGAAUGCACGAGAAAACGUCGUUGCCUGUGGUGUCCACACGGAUUUCAGAAAUGCUUCGAGGUAGAAAAACAGACACGUAACAAAGGGCGAUUAUUCAACACUUGCAGUAACAAUUGUGGAUAUUUCGAUUGGGUGGAUGAAGGAGAAUCAAGUGAACAAUGUAGUGAUGUCAACGAAGUGAUAACUGUUGUAGGGAAUGAGGAAGUUCAAGGCUUACGGAAUGAAGAAGUUCGAGACUUGCCUAGCAUGCUCGAAACUCUAGCCCGAAUAACUGAGACACGAGACGUCGAGGUGUCACUACUACAAGUGACAUUCCGCAAGGGAAAAUGAUGCUUGGAAUCAGAUGGCAAACCAAAAGGACCGGCUUGAUUAUUAGUAUUUUAGUCAACGGAUUGUUUGGGUUAUAUAUGUAAUUUAAAGACUUGAGUAGCGCUACUAUAUAUUUUGUAUGCCAUUAGAAUU